rnacentral:lncRNA from 1 species
AAAAAAAACAGACCCCCAACGGAAACUUCCCCAGACGCGUCUCUCCCUCUCGCGUCUCCCUCACGCUCUCUCCCUCUCUCCCAAACUCCCUCCCUCGCGUGCACCCAACGCGAGCCAAUCACGUACGCUUCUCUCUCCCUCGCGCAGAACCUCACAGACGCGACGUACGCUAAAAAUCCCCAGAAAUCGCGUCUCUUCCCCGCGUCUCCUCACGUCCGCGUCCCUUCACGCUCUUCUCCCUCCUUCCUCUAUCUCGCGUGGGUGCGGAACAAGCCCCAAUACGCGUCUAGCUGUCCUCGUACAGCUCUGCAACGUCUCCCUCCUCUCACAGCCUGUUGUGCGCUAAACGACGCAAAAAUCCAUCCUUGCAACGCGGAUUUGAGCCACGUCGUGUACCAAGGACGGAAGGCUCAUCUCGACCCUCCACGUCGCCUCAAAGCCGUUCGAAGAUCCUGGAAUCGAGGAAUAUUCGUUGUCUUUUGGAUAAGAUUGAGUUUUUAAAAUGGGAUGGGCCGAAGAAAGGCGGGUUUUGGAGGGUUUUUCCUGGAGAAGAACCCUAGAUUUUUGUCUUCUCCUAUAAAUAUCUCGGUUUCUGGCUUUCUUGAGGAUCUUUUUUUUUUGGAAAAUUUCUGGAAAUCUUCCUUCAUCUUCGGAGCAUUCAAACUACAAAAGGAGAGUGAAAGGUCUAGAGGAGAGAUUUUUUCUGUUUCAUUAAGCAUACAUCUGCGUUGAGUAGUCAAGAACAAGCCGUCAAAGAGGUCGAAAUCGUGAUUCUGUUUUUUUGUCUAAUUGAUUCAUUUCCCUUGAACUGCUCGGGGGUUCUUGAGUUGGUUGAAGUUUGUCGUCUCCUUGCUCAACGACGUUCCCGUUCGCUGCUUUCGAAGAGGUAAUGCCCCCUUCUACUUACAUUCUGUUUCAAACGUUGGAUGUAACGUAAUAAGUGCUCAUGGGUUUCUCUGCCUCAAUUCUGUUUUGGACUAUUUGCUUUAAUUUGGGGUUCGUCUUCGGUUGAGUGUUCUUUAUUUCGGCAUUGUUAGUUUGUUUAUAGACUGCGUUGUGUGUUUUUUUUAAUCGAUAUGGCCGCCGGCUCAGUUGGUAUAUAUAUUCGCAGGGGAGCAUAUUAAGUUUAACUGUCGUCCUGUUCGUCAAAUAGUUCUCUUUUUUCUUUCUUUUUUUUCUUCUUGGUUCAUUACCGCUAUCUCUGUUGGUUUCUCUCAAUGUCGAGAUUAAUUGUGGAUUAUGAUUUUGUUCGGUAAUGUGUGCUGGCUUGUUUAUCACUAUUGUGAUCGACAUCUCUGAGUAUGCUUGCUGGAAGUAGUUGUUUGUUUAAAUUACAUGUAUAACUCGUGUGUCCUCAACUAGUUUGUUCGAGCAAAUGUGUUGCGUGGUUAUGAUUUAGAGGUCCGUGAACUUUAACGAAUGUGAUUCCACCUUCUUCUUCUCCUCAUUGAGCAUGUUUUCCUUAUAUGUAGUUGAGUUUGAAUGGGUGCUAAAUACUCGAUAUCGUAUCCUUUAUUCCUUCAUCUCAAGUGGAAGGAAUGAAUGACGAUGUCUAAAUUUGGAUUGGUCUUGUGGCACCAUCCCACUUGUUUGUUUAAGCAUGAAGAAGGGGUUUAUAAAUAAAGGUUAUAUUAUCUUACAAUUAAAUAAGAAAAGAUUUUAAAUAAAUAAAUUUGAGAUGAGCGUCUAGUAGGAUUAUUUGGCUAAUGACACUUCUUCACCUUAGUAGACUUUCCAUUUUUUUUAUUAUUUCUUUUAGUUCUGAGGAUAGUAUCUGCCAUGCUUUGAUUUUGUUUGCUAAUUCGGCUUCCUUUUUGUUUAGUUCUUUCUUGAGUUUGAAUUAUCUUUAUAUCUUCGUCAUACAAAUGUGUUUAUGUCGUAUAUCAACUAAAGUAUGGAAUGAACAACUUAGCUGCUUAUUUUCACUUAGUAUUGUGAUUCUAUAUUUGUCACUUUGUCCCUUGCUUAAGUAGAUUGUCAUGUGGUAAAUGGCGUGAUUUGAAUUAUUAAGUUUCUUUAGAAUUUGUCUCCCUAUAUUAAUUAUCCAUGUCUUGAAUUAUUUGUGUUGUUAUAAUUAUUUGGGAUAUUGUCUUGAUUUACCUUGUAUUUAUUUCGAUUUUGAUUAUGUGAGGUUCUAAUCAUGGUUUCCAUCUUUAUGCAUGUAAAACUGCCCGAGUUUAUUACUAAACUCUUGUCCUCUAUUCCGAGGGAGACAUAAAGGCUCUAAAUGUCUUUCAUCGAGUCAAUUCGUCAAAACCGGCGUAUGAAGUUAAAUUCCGAGUUCUACGAAGAUCGAAAGCCGAGGGAGCACGGGAUUAGAAGACCCUUUUUAUUUAUUUUUGCAUUUUUGUAAUGGGCAUAAGCCCUAGUUAUUUUCCUCGUUUUCUUUGUUUAUUUUUAUUUUAUCUUGUAUGCUUAGAUUAGGACAGGUGAUAAAAUGGGUCAAAACCCGAAAAAAAAGGUGGGUCCAAAACUCGGUCAAGGCGAACAGAACCCGAGUUUGGACCCAAAUCUCUCUCUCCCUCUCUCUCUCUCUCUCUCUCUUUACUCCUUGUUUACGUGCUUUUACUUAAAUGUCGUUACUUUAGGUUUAGAAACUCCAACCCAUCGAACAUCUUUUGUUUAUCAAACUUAAAAUUAAAAGUUGAAGUUUUAAAACGAUAGAGGUUUAAAUUUGAAAGUUGCUUAGAUUUAAAGUUUAAAAAGUUUAACUUUAAUGAAAUCUUAAAACAAUAAUAUUUCACAAGUCUGUUUGAGUUUAGAGAGCUUUAACCUUAAGAAAAUUUGCAAGAUAAAUAUUUCAAAAUUUGCAAAGUUUGGCUAAGUAAAUUCUGAUAAAGUUUAAACUUCGAUUUGCAAAGGUUAAAACGAAAUAGUCAAAUAAGUUAAUUGCCGGAAAAUCGUGUUUAACGGAGUGCCUUAGGUGCCUUUAACACCUUCCUAAGACACUAAUAGGAAUCCCGAACCACUUAAAAUAUUUUCAAAAUAACUUUUUCUGUUUAAGUUGUUUUGGAAAUAAGUUUUCUUGAUUUUUCUUAAAAAAUUAAGUGGCGACUCCUAAAAGUCGAAAAUACCCUUUAAAACAACAAACUCUUUUCGAAAACCAAUUUUUCGAUAAAACAGUCUUCAAAGUUAAAAUUAAUAUACCUGAAAUUUCAAUAAUAUUAUUUAGUGUAGUUAUAAAGUAUAAUUAGAUAAAUUAAUCAAAGAAUCCUUGUUGGAGUACCAAAGAAAAUUAAAAUAAAUUAAAAUAAAAUAAUCUUUGUAGGAAUACCAAAGAAAAUUAUCCUAGCCUCUAAUUAUUCAAUUUGUACACACUCUCAAUGUUCACUACACCAUUUGAAGAUUAAUGGACAUAAACAUUAAUGUAGGGUUCCUUUUCCUUGUGAGUUUUAUGAAAGUUAAACUUAAAUACCUAAAUAUUGUCAUAUGUUCAUCUUGUCUUUCAUUAUAAACAAUAAAGAUUAUUUUUAAAAAAAUAUGUGCAAAAUAAUAAGUACACUAAAAUCAUCAAUAAUGAGG